CUGCUAUCGGAUUGAUACUAAGCCAUGCGAGUCUUUGUAGUAAUACAAGGCAGACGGCUCAGUAACACGUAGUCAACCUACCCUAUGGACGAGAAUAAUCUCGGGAAACUGAGCAUAAUUCUUGAUAGAUCAUAAUGCCUGGAAUGGUUUAUGGUUAAAAUGAUUCGUCGCCAUAGGAUGGGACUGCGGCCUAUCAGCUUGUUGGUGAGGUAAUGGCCCACCAAGGCGAUUACAGGUACGGGCUCUGAGAGGAGAAGCCCGGAGAUGGGUACUGAGACACGGACCCAGGCCCUAUGGGGCGCAGCAGGCGAGAAAACUUUGCAAUGUGCGAAAGCACGACAAGGUUAAUCCGAGUGAUUUCUGCUAAAGAAAUCUUUUGCCAGUCAUAAAACCACUGGUGAAUAAGGGGUGGGCAAGUUCUGGUGUCAGCCGCCGCGGUAAAACCAGCACCUCAAGUGGUCAGGAUGAUUAUUGGGCCUAAAGCAUCCGUAGCCGGCUUUGUAAGUUUUCGGUUAAAUCCAUGUGCUCAACGCAUGGGCUGCCGAAAAUACUGCAUGGCUAGGGAGUGGGAGAGGUAGACGGUACUCAGUAGGAAGGGGUAAAAUCCUUUGAUCUAUUGAUGACCACCUAUGGCGAAGGCGGUCUACCAGAACACGUUCGACGGUGAGGGAUGAAAGCUGGGGGAGCAAACCGGAUUAGAUACCCGGGUAGUCCCAGCUGUAAACGAUGCAGACUCGAUGAUGCAUUGGCAUAAUAGCCAGUGCAGUGUCGCAGGGAAGCCGUUAAGUCUGCCGCCUGGGAAGUACGUACGCAAGUAUGAAACUUAAAGGAAUUGGCGGGGGAGCACCACAAGGGGUGAAGCCUGCGGUUCAAU
rnacentral:rRNA from 1 species